UACGUAGGGGGCAAGCGUUGUCCGGAAUCAUUGGGCGUAAAGUGUGCGCAGGCGGCAGAGCAAGUCGAGUGUGAAAGCCCCGAGCUUAACUUGGGAAUUGCGCUCGAAACUACUUUGCUGGAGUGUGGCAGAGGAAGGUGGAAUUCCAGGUGUAGCGGUGAAAUGCGUAGAGAUCUGGAGGAACACCGAUGGCGAAGGCAGCCUUCUGGGCCAACACUGACGCUCAUGCACGAAAGCGUGGGGAGCAAACAGG
rnacentral:rRNA from 1 species